CGUUGCCUGCACCUGCCGGCGACCGGCGCACGGGUGAGUAACACGUAUGGAACCUGCCCGCCACAGGGGGAUAACCCGGGGAAACCCGGCCUAAUACCCCAUGCCGCCCGACCGGGCAUCCGGUCCGGGCGAAAGGAGGAAUCCGGUGGCGGCUGGGCAUGCGGCGCAUUAGCUUGACGGCGGGGUAACGGCUCACCAAGGCGACGAUACAUAGGGGGACUGAGAGGUCAACCCCCCACAUUGGUACUGAGACACGGACCAAACUCCUACGGGAGGCAGCAG
rnacentral:rRNA from 1 species